UACAGAGGUCCCAAGCGUUGUUCGGAUUCACUGGGCGUAAAGGGUGCGCAGGUGGGUUGGCAAGUUCGAUGUGAAAGCCCCGGGCUUAACCCGGGAAUGGCAUUGGAAACUGCUGAUCUGGAGGAUCGGAGGGGGGGGACUGGAAUUCUUGGUGGUAGCAGUGAAAUGCGUAGAUAUCAAGAGGAACACCAGUGGCGAAGGCGAGUCCCUGGACGAUACCUGACACUGAGGCACGAAAGCCAAGGGAGCAAACAGG
rnacentral:rRNA from 1 species